rnacentral:lncRNA from 1 species
GAAUCCAACUGUUCCAAACAUCUGUGAGAUCAAAGUCUGAAGUACAGCUCCUGCUUUCAUAGAAGGCCUCUGGAGAGGCAGGACUCAACCCUGUUAAUUAAUUGCACUUGUACAGCUCCUGGUAUGGCUGGCAGUAUCUGAGACUCUUGCAACCUUCCAACGUAUGCCGCUGUAAAGCUGAAAGGUGAUUUAUUGCAGUUGUACAAAGAAAGAGCAGAAAUGCAUCAAAGGUGCGCACCUGGAGACCAGAAGAACAAUGAAGAGUUAAAAAGGAAGAAGUCAGAAGUUGUUUAAAGAAGACAGUGUGUCACAGAGAACACGAGUGAGCAUGUGUAUACAUGCACUGUGGGAGGGAGUCUACAGACAGACUUCUCCAGAGGCACUCAAUCUGAGAUGUUUUAAAGGGUCUGACUUCUUCAUUACUAGAAAUGAAGAAAACGUGCUGUCUUCAAAGCCUAUUGAUGUUUUGAUGUUAAAAAAACAAACAAACAAAAAAAACCAGUAGUAAACUGAGCGUGUGACUUCAUCUUACCUUUGGGCUUUGCUGAGCUUAGACAUGCCACGUUACUUCAGUGUAUCUGCCUUUUUCCAUCUGUUAAAAUAGGGCCAUUGCUAGUUGUCUGCCUGAUUAGGACAUUAAAAGGAAAAGUUGAAUAAUGUUUAUGACCUAAUAUAUAAGUUCGAGGCGUG